AGCGAACGCUGGCGGCAUGCCUAACACAUGCAAGUCGCACGGGGGGGCUUCGGCCUCCCAGUGGCGGACGGGUGAGGAACGCGUAGGGACCUGUCGAGGGGUGGGGGAUAACCGCGGGAAACUGCGGCUAAUACCGCAUGACGCCGCGGCGUGACAGCCGGGGCCAAAGGCGUAAGCCGCCCGCCGAGGGGCCUGCGUCCGAUUAGCUGGUGGGCGGGGUAGCGGCCCACCAAGUCGUCGAUCGGUAGCUGGUCUGGGAGGGUGAGCAGCCAAACCGGGACUGAGACACGGCCCGGACUCCUACGGGAGGCAGCAGUGGGGAAUAUUGGACAAUGGGCGCAAGCCUGAUCCAGCAAUGCCGCGUGGGUGAAGAAGGUCGUCGGAUUGUAAAGUCCUGUCGGCGGGGACGAUGGUGACGGUACCCGCAGAAGAAGCCCCGGCUAACUUCGUG
rnacentral:rRNA from 1 species